CCCAAGUGUGCAUAUGUUUUUCUUUGAUAAUUAUUUUAUUUUGCUACUAUGCUUGGUAAACUGCAAUUAUGCCCAAUAUUUUUACCUUUGCAUUUUAGGUCUUCUCUUCUAUGUCACUAAGUACUAUAGGGAAGGGAAUAACUGAAGUUGAUUGAGAUCUAUUCUGAUUCUCCUGAUAUCCAUCUCAACAGGUUUUUAUUUGCUUUUCAACAUCCAUUUCAUAGUGGGACGUGUGGCUUUGAUUAAUAUUGCCAUAAAGUCUGCCGAAAAUGGGUGUGGUACGGAAACCCAGAAACGGCAUGAGCUCAACAUCAAACAUGGAUUAGAAUUUUAGCGGGGGAUCAAGUCAAGUCUGGAAGUGUUACAGGAUGGAAGAGUGAGCCUACAGUUGAAAAAACACUGAGAGUGCAUUGCCGUUAAGGUAUGAGGUAAAGUAAUAGAGUAUGCAAAUUGUCUAAUGAGAAGUACCAUCUUGUGUGAAUGAAUCCUGUAUAACAGCAAUCCUUUAUAGUUCUGUCACAGCUAGAAGCCUCAAAUAAUUCUGCUUCUCUUGCUAAAGAACAACUUGUCCUUAACGUUCAGAGUGUUGGUGAAGCUGGGUACAUAAAUGGCCCUAAAGAUGUUUCACUUCGCUGGCAUUGCAGCGAUGAACAUCAUACAUGGACUCUUUAGGAAAGGAUUUUCAGCAUACUGGGAACACAGCUAUCAACAAUGCAACAUUCUACGGGUGCUAUUUUAUCAUUCAAGAGCCUUAUACAAUGAUUUUCAUCUGCAAUUUGUAUGGCCUUUCCCAAGCUUCUGCCAGAAGUUGAAUCUAUGAGUCAUGUAAGUCACAUGAGCAACAAUUGAGAUGCUUAAUGGUGUUUUGCUUUUCUCAGUAUAGGUUGAUAGUAACAUUGGAUCUGAAAAGAUUCUUGGUUGGGGCAAGACACGCAAGACCUAAGCACCCCCCCCCCCCAUUGACUACGCCAAAUGGGUUCUUGCUUAUCGGAUCCUUUAAUCGAUUUUCGAAAGGCCAAACGAUAUUCGUUCCGAAAAAACGCAACUAAAAACGCACUGGUUUUCCGACAUCAUCGUUGAAUUUCGAUUCAAAAUCAUGGGUUUUUAUAGCAAUCCAGAUUUCUGAGAAAAUAAAUGGCGACACAUGAUGUCUUUGAAGAGGAGGAGCCUGUGUCUGUCACAUCACGAGUCACGUCACGGGAAGCGAGUGGGUCGACAGGCAGCGCGUGGGCCGACGGGCAGAUGAGUGGGUCGACGGGCAGCGAGGGGGCCGACGGGCAGAACGGGGGCUGACGGGCAGAGAGAGGGUCUACGGGCAAUAACAGCGGGCUUCUUAGCGGGCAGAAGCAAAAAAUGGAUGGACGGACAACUAUAGCGGGGGUGUUGACGGGCCGAGACUGUGACGAAAGGGUGGGCAAAUGCAAAAAAAGGUAGAUGUUCCCCCAGUAGGCAUUUUUGGGGGCAGAAUGGGAGUUGACGGGCAGAGUGUGGGUUGACGGGCAGAGAGGGGGUCGACGGGUAAAGUGUGGUUGGGCAGAGAAAGUGAGGGGAUGGCCGGCAGAAACAAUGAGUGGGUCGGCGGGGAUGAAAGGGGAACUCUUGAUUGAUGAAUAGAAUUAAGAGUAGACGGGCAAAAAAUAGGCAUGGGUCAAUUUUCUUAAAAAUAGCGUAAAAAUACGCUAGCGCCAACUAUCCCCCGGCCGUGGACGGGCUCAACGUUACUAGUAAAUAAAUAAAGUGAGAGGGUUUGCGGGCAAAAAUAGGGAGUGUUUUAAUAUGAAAAAAGAAUUAAAAUUAGACGGCAAAAUAACGAAUAAAUUAGGCUCAAAUUAACGAUUGACCGACUAAAAUUAAGAAAAAGAAGCGUUAAAAUGCGCUAUCCCCAGGUCUUGCACGGGCAAAAGUUACUAGUGCGUUGCUAAACGUAAAAAAAAAUAUUAAUAUAAUUAUAAAAACAUAGAAUCGAACCCGUGAAAUCAGCAUGGUAGCCGUAUACUAAGCCAUAGCGCCAUACUACACUAUUCCAUUGCUUCAUAAGCUACCUAUUUCAAAGGGUGACACCCAAAGCAAAAUUUGUUUGGGAUGUGCGGUCCUGGCACAGUGGUUACCACCUUCGCUUCGCAUUCUGAGGGCCCCGGGUUCAAGUCCCGCCACCGCCAAUUUCCCUCCCUCCCUUUCCCUCCAAUUCAGCAUUCAAGAUACGCAAGAUUCUACUCAUUCAAGAAAGAAAAGAAGAAGAAAGAAAAAAAGAAGAAAGAAUAAAAGAAGUGAGAAAAAAAAGAAGCAAGAAUAAAAGAAGUGAGAAAAAAAGAAGAAAGAAUAAAAGAAGAGAGAAAAGAAGAGCCAUGCCUACUAUAACGGGGCUAAAUGGUACACCAGAAAAGCCUUGCCAGGCUAAAAAUGGCAAAAAAAAGCCUUGCCAGGCUAAAAAUGGCAAAAAAAGCCUUGCCAGGCUAAAAAUCGAUCUGUAGUACUGUUCACUACACGUUAAGGAUCGACCCACAAACUGAAGGGUGGAGAAGAGGGGAACAUUGAACGUAGGCUGUUCGUUAGCCUCCCCACGGCCUGAAAGACGGCUCGUGGAUGCAGACGCUUAUGAUCGGGAUAUGUGACCCAAUUCGAUACCUGAAAAUUAGCGCCACUUGGCGGCCGAAGAAAAUCUACCUAUCCCCCGGCGCUUCUGUGUUCAUCCAGGCUGCUACUCUUCAAACGUGGAGUCUUGCUGUCGCCUCUAAGAACCCCAUAGUACUACUUUUUCCAGCUCUCUUAGGUAUGCAAUGGAAGUUUUUGCAUGCUCAUAACUUUGUUCUAUACGCUCAGAAACGUCUUCAGCGAGCUCGAUUUGUUCAUAGUUCUGUUUUUGGAAUCAACGGCGAUAUGGAACAACAAAUAUACACAACAGUAUGUGGACAACAAGAAAGCUUUUGUUUGAAGAAAAAACUACAUCAGUAACCAGUUGCAGGUUCUCAUUCAUGAUUUACAUAGAAAACCGAUAAGAGUUUUUGGACUACCGUACUGCUUUUCGCAUGUUUGACGUUUAUCCGUCGAUAUCCAUGUUGCCAUGGCUAAAACAACAAAAAGGUUGGAAUCUAGAUACUACGUGCUUUCACUUUACGCUAUGUACUUCGAGGACUUUGCGUUUAGCUGUGAAAACCUUAUUCUUCUAUAAGCAAG